CAACCAUGGAUCCCUGUCUGCCAGGGGAGGCACCACAUUUCACCCACAGGGUCCCAGCUCUGAGCACAGAGUUGGGGCCCCAUAUGGCAACCUGCUCUCUGAGGCCAAGGUGGGUCUUGAUAGCUAGUAAGAGGGCAGGUCUUCUCUCUCCAUUGGUCAGUGCCUGGGAUUUCAGCAUUGGAUGGUUCUAGGUUGGUCAGCCAUUGAACAGCUUCAGUUCCCCUGGUUCUGUCCCUAUCCUGGGCCCUCAGGGCAUCCAUUCCAUCCAGGAUAAGGGUGAAAGGAACAUGGGGCAGCACCCAGUGUACAUUGGACCUUGCUGACACCCAGUAGGAAGGAACUCACUGAGACCACAAGCCACCUAACAGUCAGCCUGAAUGCCAGGGAAGGUGCCACAUUGCACCUACAGGCUCCCAACUGUCUGCCCAGCACGGGCACCAGGGUUCCUGCUCAGCUAUCUCUCUAGCCUCUGGUCCAGUCUAAGACCUCAAGCAGAGCUUUGCUCCUUCUGCCAUUUUGCCUCCAUCCCCCACAAUCCUCAGAGUACACACCUAGGUUUCUUAGCCAUUCUGCAAGCAUAGGCCCUCCAGUUUCUAGCCACUUCUUUGUUCCAAGGGGCUUGCCUUCCACCAGGGUCAAGGGAAAUCCACAUGGUUGUCUGCCCCCAUGUGUGGUCCCCUUUGUCCCAGCCCUGUGGCAAAGAAAAUUCAACCUCCCAACAGUUAGCCAAAAUGGAACCCUGUCUGACAGGGUAAACACCAUCAUGCACCUGUAGUCCCCCGCCUCACAGCCCAGGGAUGGGGGCAAGCUUUUGGAGCACUUUCUCAGAUCUCUACAAGUGCAUCUAUCAAUUCAUGCAGAGCCUUUCUUUCUCUCCUCUUUGGCCUCCAAACCCAAUCCUCAGCUUCUUGAUACCGGUUUCUCAGCCAUUCAGCACCUGCAGGGCCCCAAGUCUGUACCCACCUCUUUGUUGAAGGGGCUUGUGUUCCACCAGGGUCAAGGGGGAAUCCACAUGGUUGUCUGCCGCCAUGAGUGAUCCUCUUUGAGCCAGCCCUGUAGCAAAGAAAAUUCACUCUCCAACAGUUACCCCAAAUGGAACCCUGUCUGACAGGGUAAACACCACCCUACACCUGUAGGUCCCCAUCUCACAGCACAGGGGUGUGGGCAUGUUUUCCAGUCCUUUUUGAUAGCCUUGCUACUCAUGCUAAAGAAUCAUCCAGAGGCUUUUCUUCUCUCUCCUUUGGCCUCUGAACCACAACCCUCAGUUUGUGGCAAAGGUUUCUCAGCCAUUCAGCAUCUGUAGGGCACCCGCUUUGUACCCACUUUUUUGUGCCAAGGGGCUUGCCUUCCACCAGGGUCAAGGGCUAAUCCACAUGGCUGUCUGCCCCCCUGUGUGAUCCUCUUUGACCCAGCCCUGUGGCAAUUAAAAUUCACUCUCCCCACAGUUAGCCAAAAUGGAACCCUGACUGAUAGGGUAAACACCAUCAUGCACCUGUAGACCCCACCUCGUGGCCCAGAGGUGGAGACAUCUUUUCUUCCCUACAUUGUCCUAUCUUUAAUGUUCACUCAAUCUCAGCCCUCAAUCAUCAGUUUUGCCUUCCUGAUUUCUUUCUCUAUAAUCAGUUCUCUCCCCUGCCAUGAAUCAACACUCAUAGACACAGACGCAGACCCAGACCCAGACCCAGACCCAGGCGCGCGCACACACACACACACACACACACACACACACCCCUGUGGAGCACUUGAUCCACAAUGAGUGACACAGAAACAAAGUCCACUGCACACAACCAUGGUGUAUUAGACAUUCCAAUCUGACCCAAGCCCCUAGAUCCUUUACCAGUACUUGGGCAGGGACUGCUCUCAUUCCAACUGGCAUGGAAGUGGAAUGGGUACGGGGCCCUCCCCAAAGGAUGCUGGCCCUUGCCUUGACCUUCUAGCACAGAAAACCCACUGAGUCCAGAACCAGCUCCCAGCUGAGCCUGUCUGCCCGGGGAGGCAGCCCAUUUCACCUCUAGCUGCCACCCCUAAGCACAUUUACCCACUUGCUAUCCUGCUCUCUGGAGACCAAGCAGGGUUGUGAUACCUAGUCAGAGGGCAGGGUUUCUCCCACCAUUUCUCACGGGCAAGUCUUCCAUCUGGGCAUGGACAAGGGUUGUCUGCCAUUCUCCACCCCAAGGCUGUCCCAGGUUGUUUCCCAGUCUUUGCUUGGGAGGACAGGCCAUCCAGCUACAUCAAGGGAGAAUGGGCUUGGGGCUCCACUCCAUCUAAGUUCCAACUGGCAUUGGCCCUUCAGUCAAGAGCCAACCAUGGAUCCCUGUCUGCCAGGGGAGGCACCACAUUUCACCCACAGGGUCCCAGCUCUGAGCACAGAGUUGGGGCCCCAUAUGGCAACCUGCUCUCUGAGGCCAAGGUGGGUCUUGAUAGCUAGUAAGAGGGCAGGUCUUCUCUCUCCAUUGGUCAGUGCCUGGGAUUUCAGCAUUGGAUGGUUCUAGGUUGGUCAGCCAUUGAACAGCUUCAGUUCCCCUGGUUCUGUCCCUAUCCUGGGCCCUCAGGGCAUCCAUUCCAUCCAGGAUAAGGGUGAAAGGAACAUGGGGCAGCACCCAGUGUACAUUGGACCUUGCUGACACCCUGUAGGAAGGAACUCACUGAGACCACAAGCCACCUAACAGUCAGCCUGAAUGCCAGGGAAGGUGCCACAUUGCACCUACAGGCUCUCAACUCUCUGCCCAGCACGGGCACCAGGGUUCCUGUUCAGCUAUCUCUCUACCCUCUGGUCCAGUCUGAGGCCUCAAGCAGAGUCUUCCUCCUUCUGCCUUUUUGCCUCCAUCUCCCAUAAUCCUCAGAAUACACACCUAGGUUUCUCCACCAUUCUGCAGGCAUAGGGCCUCCAGUUUCUAGGCACUUCUUUGUUCCAAGGGGCUUGCCUUCCACCAGGGUCAAGGGAAAUCCACAUGGUUGUCUGCCCCCAUGUGUGGUCCCCUUUGACCCAGCCCUGUGGCAAAGAAAAUUCAACCUCCCAACAGUUAGCCAAAAUGGAACCCUGUCUGACAGGGUAAACACCAUCAUGCACCUGUAGUCCCCCGCCUCACAGCCCAGGGAUGGGGGCAAGCUUUUGGAGCACUUUCUCAGAUCUCUACAAGUCCAUCUAUCAAUUCAUACAGAGCCUUUCUUUCCCUCCUCUUUGGCCUCCAAACCCAAUCCUCAGCUUCCUGAUACUGGUUUCUCAGCCAUUCAGCACCUGCAGGGCCCCAAGUCUGUACCCACCUCUUUGUUGAAGGGGCUUGUGUUCCACCAGGGUCAAGGGGGAAUCCACAUGGUUGUCUGCCGCCAUGAGUGAUCCUCUUUGAGCCAGCCCUGUAGCAAAGAAAAUUCACUCUCCAACAGUUACCCCAAAUGGAACCCUGUCUGACAGGGUAAACACCACCCUACACCUGUAGGUCCCCACCUCACAGCCCAGGGGUGGGGACAUCUUUUCUUUGCUACAUUUUCCUGUCUUUAAUGCUCACUCAAUCUCACGUGUAAAUCAUCAGUUUUGCCUUCCUGAUUUCGUUCUCUAUAAUCGGUGCUCUCCCCUGCCAUGAAUCAACACUCUUAGACAUAGACACAGAUGCAGCCCCAGUCACAGACACAGGCACAGGUGCACACAUGCACCCACACCCCCACACCCCCACUCUCACACACACACACACACACACACGCACACACACACACACACGACUGUGGAGCUCUUGAUCCAUACUGAGUGACACAGAAACAAAGUCCAUAGCACAGACCCUGGUUUAUUAGACAUUCUAAUUUGACACAAGCCCCGAGGUCCUUGACCAGUACUUGGGCAGGGACUGCCCUCAUUCAAACUGGCAUGGAUGUGGAAUGGGUAUGGGGUCCUCCCCAAAGGAUGCUGGCCAUUGCCUUGGCCUUCUAGCACAGAAAACCCACUGAGUCCAGAACCAGCUCCCAGCUGAGCCUGUCUGCCCAGGGAGGCAGCCCAUUUCACCUCUAGCUGCCACCCCUAAGCACAGUUACCCACUUGCUAUCCUGCUCUCUGGAGACCAAGCAGGGUUGUGAUACUUAGACAGAGGGCAGGGUUUCUCCCACCAUUUCUCACUGGCAAGUCUUCCAUCUGGGCAUGGACAAGGGUUGUCUGCCAUUCUCCACCCCAGGGCUGUCGCAGGUUGUUUCCCAGUCUUUGCUUGGGAGGACAGGCCAUCCAGCUACUUCAAGGGAGAAUGGGCAUGGGGCUCCACUCCAUCUAAGUUCCAACUGGCAUUGGCCCUCCAGGCAAGAGCCGACCAUGGAUCCCUGUCUGCCAGGAGAGGCACCAACUUUCACCCACAGGGUCCUAGUUCUGAGCACAGAGUUGGUACCCAACAUGGAAACCUGCUCUCUGAAGCCAAGGUGGGUCUUGAUAGACAGGCAGAGGGCAGGUCUUCUCUCUCCAUUGGUCAAUGCCUGGGAUUUCAGCAAUGGGUCGUUUUAGGUUGGUCAGUCAUUGAACAGCUUCAGUUCCCCUUGUUCUGUCCCUAUCCUGGGCCCUCAGGGCAUCCAUUCCAUCCAGGAUAAGGGCAAAAGGAACAUGGGGCAGCACCCAGUGUACAUUGGACCUUGCUGACACCCUGUAGGAUGGAACUCACUGAGACCACAAGCCAGUUAAGAGUCAGCCUGAAUGCCAAGGAAGGUGCCACAUUGCACCUACAGCCUCCCAACUCUCUCCCUAGCAGGGGCACCAGGGUUUCUACUCAGCUAUCUCUCUAGCCUCUGGUCCAUUGUAAGGCCUCAAGCAGAGCCUUCCUCCUUCUGCCCUUUUGCCUCCAUCCCCCACAAUCCUCAGAGUACACACCUAGGUUUCUCAGCCAUUCUGCAAGCAUAGGCCCUCCAGUUUCUAGCCACUUCUUUGUUCCAAGGGGCUUGCCUUCCACCAGGGUCAAGGGAAAUCCACAUGGUUGUCUGCCCCCAUGUGUGGUCCUCUUUGACCCAGCCCUGUGGCAAAGAAAAUUCAAACUCCCAACAGUGAGCCAAAAUGGAACCCUGUCUGACAGGGUAAACACCAUCAUGCACCUGUAGUCCCCUGCCUCACAGCCCAGGUUUGGGGGCAAGCUUUUUAAGCACUUUCUCAGGUCCCUCUAUUGAUUCAUGCAGAGGCUUUCUUUCUCUCCUCUUUGGCCUCCAAACCCAAUCCUCAGCUUCCUGAUACUGGUUUCUCAGCCAUUCAGCACCUGCAGGGCCCCCAGUUUGUACCCACCUCUUUGUUGAAGGGGCUUGUGUUCCACCAGGGUCAAGGGGAAAUCCACAUGGUUGUCUGCCGCCAUGAGUGAUCCUCUUUGAGCUAGCCCUGUAGCAAAGAAAAUUCAAUCUCCAACAGUUACCCCAAAUGGAACCCUGUCUGACAGGGUAAACACCACCCUACACCUGUAGGUCCCCAUCUCACAGCACAGGGGUGUGGGCAUGUUUUCCAAUCCAUUUUGAUAGCCUUUGCUACUCAUGCUAAAGAAUCAUCCAGAGGCUUUCCUUCUCUCUCCUUUGGCCUCUGAACCACAAUCGUCAGUUUGUGACAAAGGUUUCUCAGCCAUUCAGCAUGUGCAGGGCUCCCAAUAUGUGCCUACUUCUUUGUUCCAAGGGCUUGCCUUCCACCGGGGUCAAGGGGGAAUCCACAUGGGUGUCUGGCCCCCUGUGGGAACCUCUUUUUCCCAGCCCUCAGGCAACGAAAAUUCACUCUCCCCACAGUGAGCCAAAAUGGAACCCUGUCUGACAGGGCAAACACCAUCAUGCACCUGUAGACCCCACCUCACAGCCCAGGCGUGGGGACAUCUUUUCUUCCCUACAUUUUCCUAUCUCUAAUGCUCACUCAAUCUCAGGUCUACAUCAUCAGUUUUGCCUUCCUCAUUUCUUUCUCUAUAAUCAGUUCUCUCCUCUGCCACAAAGAAACACUCACAGAUACAGACAGACAGACACACAAACACAGAAACAAACAUGGGGAGCAAUUGUUCCAUACUGAGUAACACAGAAACAAAGUCCACAGCACAGACUCUGGUUUAUUAGACAUUCCAAUCUGAGAGAAGCCCCUAGGUCCUUUAACAGUCCUUGGGCACAGAGUGCUUCCAUUUGGCUCACAAGGAAGUAUAAUGCGUAUGGGGCAUUCCUCAACCUCUGUUGGCCCUUGCCUUGGCCUUCUAGCUCAGAAAACCCACUGAGUCCAGAACCAGCUCCCAGCUGAGCCUGUCUGUACGGGGAGGCAGCCCAUUUCACCUCUAGCUGCCACCCCUAAGCACAGUUACCCACUUGCUACCCUGCUCUCUGGAGACCAAGCAGGGUUGUGAUACCUAGUCAGAGGGCAGGGUUUCUCCCACCAUUUCUCACUGGCAAGUCUUCCAUCUGGGCAUGGACAAGGGUUGUCUGCCAUUCUCCACCCCAGGGCUAUCCCAGGUUGUUUCUCAGUCUUUGCUGGGGAGGACAGGCCAUCCAGCUACUUCAAGGGAGAAUGGGCAUGGGGCUCCACUCCAUCUAAGUUCCAACUGGCAUUGGCCCUUCAGUAAAGAGCCAACCAUGGAUCCCUGUCUGCCAGGGGAGGCACCACCUUUUACCCACAGGGUCCCAGCUCUGAGCACAGAGGUAGGGCCCCACAUGGCAGGCAGCUCUCUGAGGCCAAGGCGGGUCUUGAUAUCCCAUAGGAAGGCAGGUCUUCUCUCUCCAUUGGUCCGUGCCCAAGAUUUCAGCAAUGGGUGGUUCUAGGUUGGUCAGCCAUUGAACAGCUUCAGUUCCCCUGGUCCUGUCCCCAUUCUGGGCCCCUCAGGGCAUCCAUUCCAUCUAGGAUAAACAUGAAAAGGAACAUCGGGCUGCACCCAGUGUACAUUGGACCUUGCUGACACCCUGUAGGAAGGAACUCACUGAGACCACAAGCCACCUAACAGUCACACUGAAUGCCAGGGAAGAUGCCACAUUGUACAUAGAGGCUCCCAACUGUCUGCCCAGCAGGGGCAACAGGGUUCCUGCUCAGCUAAUCUCUCUAGCCUCUGGUCCAGUCUGAGGCCUCAAGCAGAGCCUUGCUCCUUCUGGCUUUUUGCCUACAUCCUCCAUAAUCCUCAGAGUACACACCUAGGUUUCUCAGCCAUUCUGCAAGCAUAGGCCCUCCAGUUUCUAGCCACUUCUUUGUUCCAAGGGGCUUGCCUUCCACCAGGGUCAAGGGAAAUCCACAUGGUUGUCUGCCCCCAUGUGUGGUCCUCUUUGACCCAGCCCUGUGGCAAAGAAAAUUCAACCUCCCAACAGUUAGCCAAAAUGGAACCCUGUCUGACAGGGUAAACACCAUCAUGCACCUGUAGUCCCCCGCCUCACAGCCCAGGUUUGGGGGCAAACUUUUUGAGCACUUUCUCAGAUCUCUACAAGUCCAUCUAUCAAUUCAUGCAGAGCCUUUCUUUCUCUCUUCUUUGGCCUCCCAAACUCAAUCCUCAGAUUCCUGAAAACGGUUUCUCAGCCAUUCAGCACCUGCAGGGCCCAGAGUCUGUACCCACCUCUUUGUUGAAGGGGCUUGUGUUCCACCAGGGUCAAGGGGGAAUCCACAUGGUUGUCUGCCGCCAUGAGUGAUCCUCUUUGAGCCAGCCCGGUAGCAAAGAAAAUUCACCCUCCAACAGUUACCCAAAAUGGAACCCUGUCUGACAGGGUAAACACCACCCCUACACCUGUAGGUCCCCAUCUCACAUGCCAGGGGUGUGGGCAUGUUUUCCAGUCCUUUUUGAUAGCCUUUGCUACUCAUGCUAAAGAAUCAUCCAGAGGCUUUCCUUCUCUCUCCUUUGGCCUCUGAACCACAACCCUCAGUUUGUGACAAAGGUUUCUCAGUUAUUCAGCAUCUGCAGGCCCCCCGGGUUUGUACCUACUUCUUUGUUCCAAGGGGCUUGCCUUCCAGCAGGGUCAAGUGGUAAUCCACAUGGGUGUGUGCCCCCCUCUGUGAUCCUCUCUGACCCUACCCUGUGGCAAAGAAAAUUCACUCUCCCCAUAGUUAGCCAAAAUGGAACCCUGUCUGAUAGGGUAAACACCACACUACACCUGUAGGUCCCCACCUCACAGCCCAGGGGUGGGGACAUCUUUUCUUUGCUACAUUUUCCUGUCUUUAAUGCUCACUCAAUCUCAGGCCUAAAUCAUGAGUUUUGCCUUCCUGAUUUCUUUCUCUAUAAUCAGUGCUCUCCCCUGCCAUGAAUCAACACUCAUAGACACAAAACCAGACCCAGACCCAGACCCAGACCGAGGCACAGGCACAGGCACACACACACACACAGGUACACACACAUACACACACACACACACACACACACACACACACACACCCUGUGGAGCUCUUGUUCCACACUGAGUGACACAGAAACAAAGUCCACAGCACAAACCCUGGUUUACUAGACAUUCUAAUUUGACACAAGCCCCAUGGGUCCUUUACCAGUACUUGGGCAGGGACUGCUCUCAUUCCAACUGGCAUGGACUGGAAUGGGUAUGGGGCACUCCCUAUAGGAUGCUGGCCCUUGCCUUGGCCUUCUAGCUCAGAAAACCCACUGAGUCCAGAACCAGCUCCCAGCUGAGCCUGUCUGCCCAGGGAGGCAGCCCAUUUCACCUCUAGCUGCCACCCCUAAGCACAGUUACCCACUUGCUACCCUGCUCUCUGCAGACCAAGCAGGGUUGUGAUACCUAGUCAGAGGGCAGGGUUUCUCCCACCAUUUCUCACUGGCAAGUCUUCCAUCUGGGCAUGGACAAGGGUUGUCUGCCAUUCUCCACCCCAAGGCUGUCCCAGGUUAUUUCCCAGUCUUUGCUGGGGAGGACAGGCCAUCCUGCUACAUCAAGGGAGAAUGGGCAUGGGGCUCCACUCCAUCUAAGUUCCAACUAGCAUUGGCCCUCCAGUCAAGAGCCGACCAUGGAUCUCUGUCUGUCAGGGGAGGCACCAACUUUCACCCACAGGGUCCCAGCUCUGAGCACAGAGUUGGGGCCCCACAUGGCAACCUGCUCUCUGAGGCCAAGGUGGGUCUUGAUAGCUAGUCAGAGGGCAGGUCUCCUCUCUCCAUUGGUCAGUGCCCAGGAUUUCAGCAAUGGGUGGUUCUAGGUUGGUCAGCCAUUGAACAGCUUCAGUUCCCCUGGUUCUGUCCCCAUUCUGGGCCCCUCAGGGCAUCCAUUCCAUCUAGGAUAAACAUGAAAAGGAACAUUGGGCUGCACCCAGUGUACAUUGGACCUUGCUGACACCCUGUAGGAAGGAACUCACUGAGACCACAAGCCACCUAACACUCAGCCUGAAUGCCAGGGAAGGUGCCAUUUUGCACAUAUAGGCUCCCAACUGUCUGCCCAGCAUGGGCACCAGGGUUCCUGCUCAGCUAUCUCUCUAGCCUCUGGUCCAGUCUAAGACCUCAAGCAGAGCCUUGCUCCUUCUGCCAUUUUGCCUCCAUCCCCCACAAUCCUCAGAGUACACACCUAGGUUUCUCAGCCAUUCUGCAAGCAUAGGCCCUCCAGUUUCUAGCCAUUUCUUUGUUCCAAGGGGCUUGCCUUCCACCAGGGUCAAGGGAAAUCCACAUGGUUGUCUGCCCCCAUGUGUGGUCCCCUUUGUCCCAGCCCUGUGGCAAAGAAAAUUCAACCUCCCAACAGUUAGCCAAAAUGGAACCCUGUCUGACAGGGUAAACACCAUCAUGCACCUGUAGUCCCCUGCCUCACAGCCCAGGUUUGGGGGCAAGCUUUUUAAGCACUUUCUCAGGUCCCUCUAUUGAUUCAUGCAGAGGCUUUCUUUCUCUCCUCUUUGGCCUCCAAACCCAAUCCUCAGCUUCCUGAUACCGCUUUCUCAGGCAUUUAGCACCUGCAGGGCCCCUGGUUUGUACCCACUUCUUUGUUGAAGGGGCUUGAUUUCCACCAGGGUCAAGGGGGAAUCCACAUGGUUGUCUGCCCCACUGUGUGAUCCUCUUUGAGCCAGCCCUGUAGCAAAGAAAAUUCAAUCUCCAACAGUUACCCCAAAUGGAACCCUGUCAGACCGGGUAAACACCACGCUACACCGGUAGAUCCGCACCUCACAUGCCAGGGGUGUGGGCAUGUUUUCCAGUCCUUUUUGAUAGCCUUUGCUACUCAUGCUAAAGAAUCAUCCAGAGGCUUUCCUUCUCUCUCCUUUGGCCUCUGAACCACAACCCUCAGUUUGUGACAAAGGUUUCUCAGCCAUUCAGCAUGUGCAGGGCUCCCAGUAUAUACCUACUUCUUUGUUCCAAGGGCUUGAUUUCCACCAGGGUCAAGGGGGAAUCCACAUGGUUGUCUGCCCCCAUGUGUGGUCCUCUUUGACCCAGCCCUGUGGUAAAGAAAAUUCAACCUCCCAACAGUGAGCCAAAAUGGAACCCUGUCUGACAGGGUAAACACCAUCAUGCACCUGUAGUCCCCCGCCUCACAGCCCAGGGAUGGGGGCAAGCUUUUUGAGCACUUUCUCAGAUCUCUACAAGUCCAUCUAUCAAUUCAUGCAGAGCCUUUCUUUCUCUCUUCUUUGGCCUCCAAACUCAAUCCUCAGAUUCCUGAAAACGGUUUCUCAGCCAUUCAGCACCUGCAGGGCCCAGAGUCUGUACCCACCUCUUUGUUGAAGGGGCUUGUGUUCCACCAGGGUCAAGGGGGAAUCCACAUGGUUGUCUGCCCCCCUGUGUGAUCCUCUUUGAGCCAGCCCUGUAGCAAAGAAAAUUCACCCUCCAACAGUUACCCAAAAUGGAACCCUAUCUGACAGGGUAAACACCACCCUACACCUGUAGGUCCCCAUCUCACAUGCCAGGGGUGUGGGCAUGUUUUCCAGUCCUUUUUGAUAGCCUUUGCUACUCAUGCUAAAGAAUCAUCCAGAGGCUUUCCUUCUCUCUCCUUUGGCCUCUGAACCACAACCCUCAGUUUGUGACAAAGGUUUCUCAGCCAUUCAGCAUCUGCAGGCCCCCCGGGUUUGUACCUACUUCUUUGUUCCAAGGGGCUUGCCUUCCAGCAGGGUCAAGGGGUAAUCCACAUGGGUGUUUGCCCCCCUCUGUGAUCCUCUCUGACCCUACCCUGUGGCAAUGAAAAUUCACUCUCCCCACAGUUACCCAAAAUGGAACCCUGUCUGAUAGGGUAAACACCACACUACACCUGUAGGUCCCCACCUCACAGCCCAGGGGUGGGGACAUCUUUUCUUUGCUACAUUUUCCUGUCUUUAAUGCUCACUCAAUCUCAGGCCUAAAUCAUCAGUUUUGCCUUCCUGAUUUCCUUCUCUAUAAUCAGUGCUCUCCCCUGCCAUGAAUCAACACUCUUAGACAUAGACACAGACCCAGCCCCAGUCACAGACACAGGCACAGGCACACACAUGCACCCACACACACCCCCCCCCACACCCCCAUGCACACCCACUCACACACACACACACACACACACACACACACACACACACACACACACACACACACAUACCGGUGGAGCUCUUGAUCCACACUGAGUGACACAGAAACAAAGUCCACAGCACAGACCCUGGUUUAUUAGACAUUCUAAUUUGACACAAGCCCCAUGGGUCCUUUACCAGUACUUGGGCAGGGACUGCUCUCAUUCCAACUGGCAUGGACUGGAAUGGGUAUGGGGCACUCCCUAUAGGAUGCUGGCCCUUGCCUUGGCCUUCUAGCUCAGAAAACCCACUGAGUCCAGAACCAGCUCCCAGCUGAGCCUGUCUGCCCGGGGAGGCAGCCCAUUUCACCUCUAGCUGCCACCCCUAAGCACAGUUACCCACUUGCUACCCUGCUCUCUGCAGACCAAGCAGGGUUGUGAUACCUAGUCAGAGGGCAGGGUUUCUCCCACCAUUUCUCACUGGCAAGUCUUCCAUCUGGGCAUGGACAAGGGUUGUCUGCCAUUCUCCACCCCAAGGCUGUCCCAGGUUGUUUCUCAGUCUUUGCUCGGGAGGACAGGCCAUCCAGCUACAUCAAGGGAGAAUGGGCAUGGGGCUCCACUCCAUCUAAGUUCCAACUAGCAUUGGCCCUCCAGUCAAGAGCCGACCAUGGAUCUCUGUCUGUCAGGGGAGGCACCAACUUUCACCCACAGGGUCCCAGCUCUGAGCACAGAGUUGGGGCCCCACAUGGCAACCUGCUCUCUGAGGCCAAGGUGGGUCUUGAUAGCUAGUCAGAGGGCAGGUCUCCUCUCUCCAUUGGUCAGUGCCCAGGAUUUCAGCAAUGGGUGGUUCUAGGUUGGUCAGCCAUUGAACAGCUUCAGUUCCCCUGGUUCUGUCCCCAUUCUGGGCCCCUCAGGGCAUCCAUUCCAUCUAGGAUAAACAUGAAAAGGAACAUUGGGCAGCACCCAGUGUACAUUGGACCUUGCUGACACCCUGUAGGAAGGAACUCACUGAGACCACAAGCCACCUAACACUCAGCCUGAAUGCCAGGGAAGGUGCCAUAUUGCACAUAUAGGCUCCCAACUGUCUGCCCAGCACGGGCACCAGGGUUCCUGCUCAGCUAUCUCUCUAGCCUCUGGUCCAGUCUGAGGCCUCAAGCAGAGCCUUGCUCCUUCUGCCAUUUUGCCUCCAUCCCCCAUAAUUCUCAGAGUACACACCUAGGUUUCUCAGCCAUUCUGCAAGCAUAGGCCCUCCAGUUUCUAGCCACUUCUUUGUUCCAAGGGGCUUGCCUUCCACCAGGGUCAAGGGAAAUCCACAUGGUUGUCUGCCCCCAUGUGUGGUCCCCUUUGUCCCAGCCCUGUGGCAAAGAAAAUUCAACCUCCCAACAGUUAGCCAAAAUGGAACCCUGUCUGACAGGGUAAACACCAUCAUGCACCUGUAGUCCCCCGCCUCACAGCCCAGGGAUGGGGGCAAACUUUUUGAGCACUUUCUCAGAUCUCUACAAGUCCAUCUAUCAAUUCAUGCAGAGCCUUUCUUUCUCUCCUCUUUGGCCUCCAAACUCAAUCCUCAGAUCCCUGAAAACGGUUUCUCAGCCAUUCAGCACCUGCAGGGCCCCUGGUUUGUACCCACUUCUUUGUUGAAGGGGCUUGAUUUCCACCAGGGUCAAGGGGGAAUCCACAUGGUUGUCUGCCGCCAUGAGUGAUCCUCUUUGAGCCAGUCCUGUAGCAAAGAAAAUUCACCCUCCAACAGUUACCCAAAAUGGAACCCUGUCUGACAGGGUAAACACCACCCUACACCUGUAGGUCCCCAUCUCACAUGCCAGGGGUGUGGGCAUGUUUUCCAGUCCUUUUUGAUAGCCUUUGCUACUCAUGCUAAAGAAUCAUCCAGAGGCUUUCCUUCUCUCUCCUUUGGCCUCUGAACCACAACCCUCAGUUUGUGACAAAGGUUUCUCAGCCAUUCAGCAUCUGCAGGCCCCCCGGGUUUGUACCUACUUCUUUGUUCCAAGGGGCUUGCCUUCCAGCAGGGUCAAGUGGUAAUCCACAUGGGUGUGUGCACCCCUCUGUGAUCCUCUCUGACCCUACCCUGUGGCAAAGAAAAUUCACUCUCCCCAUAGUUAGCCAAAAUGGAACCCUGUCUGAUAGGGUAAACACCACACUACACCUGUAGGUCCCCACCUCGCAGCCCAGGGGUGGGGACAUCUUUUCUUUGCUACAUUUUCCUGUCUUUAAUGCUCACUCAAUCUCAGGCCUAAAUCAUCAGUUUUGCCUUCCUGAUUUCUUUCUCUAUAAUCAGUGCUCUCCCCUGCCAUGAAUCAACACUCAUAGACAUAGACACAGACCCAGCCCCAGUCACAGACUCACGCACAGGCACACACAUGCACCCACACCCCCACACCCCCACACCCCCACUCUCACACACACACACACACAGAACUGUGGAGCUCUUGAUCCACACUGAGUGACACAGAAACAAAGUCCACAGCACAGACCCUGGUUUAUUAGACAUUCUAAGUCCCAUAGGUCCUUGACCAGUACUUGGGCAGGGACUGCUCUCAUUCCAACUGGCAUGGACUCGAAUGGUUAUGGGGCACUCCCUAUAGGAUGCUGGCCCUUGCCUUGGCCUUCUAGCUCAGAAAACCCACUAAGUCCAGAACCAGCUCCCAGCUGAGCCUGUCUGCCCGGGGAGGCAGCCCAUUUCACCUCUAGCUGCCACCCCUAAACACAGUUACCAACUUGCUACCCUGCUCUCUGGAGACCAAGCAGGGUUGUGAUACCUAGUCAGAGGGCAGGGUUUCUCCCACCAUUUCUCACUGGCAAGUCUUCCAUCUGGGCAUGGACAAGGGUUGUCUGCCAUUCUCCACCCCAGGGCUAUCCCAGGUUGUUUCCCAGUCUUUGCUUGGGAGGACAGGCCAUCCAUCUACAUCAAGGGAGAAUGGGCAUGGGGCUCCACUCCAUCUAAGUUCCAACUGGCAUUGGCCCUCCAGCCAAGAGCCGACCAUGGAUCCCUGUCUGUCAGCGGAGGCACCACCUUUCACCCACAGGGUCCUAGUUCUGAGCACAGAGUUGGGGCCCAACAUGGAAACCUGCUCUCUGAAGCCAUGGUGGGUCUUAAUAGACAGUCAGAGGGCAGGUCUUCUCUCUCCAUUGGUCCGUGCCCAAGAUUUCAGCAAUGGGUGGUUCUAGGUUGGUCAGCCAUUGAACAGCUUCAGUUCCCCUGGUUCUGUCCCUAUCCUGGGCCCCUCAGGGCAUCCAUUCCAUCCAGGAUAAGGGCAAAAGGAACAUGGGGCAGCACCCAGUGUACAUUGGACCUUGCUGACACCCUGUAGGAUGGAACUCACUGAGACCACAAGCCACCUAACAGUCAGCCUGAAUGCCAGCAAAGGUGCCACAUUGUACCUACAGCCUCCCAACUCUCUCCCCAGCAGGGGCACCAGGGUUUCUACUCAACUAUCUCUCUAGCCUCUGGUCCAGUCUGAGGCCUCAAGCAGAGCCUUCCUCCUUCUGCCCUUUUGCCUCCAUCCCCCAUAAUCCUCAGAGUACACACCUAGGUUUCUCAGCCAUUCUGCAAGCAUAGGGCCUCCAGUUUCUAGCCACUUCUUUGUUCCAAGGGGCUUGCCUUCCGCCAUGGUCAAGGGAAAUCCACAUGGUUUUCUGCCGCCAUGUGUGGUCUUCUUUUACCCAGGCCUAUGGCAAAGUAAAUUCAACCUCCCAACAGUUAGCCAAAAUGGAACCCUGUCUGACAGGAUAAACACCAUCAUGCACCUGUAGUCCCCUGCCUCACAGCACAGGUUUGGGGGUAAGCUUUUUAAGCACUUUCUCAGGUCCCUCUAUUGAUUCAUGUAGAGGCUUUUUUUCUCUCCUCUUUGGCCUCCAAACCCAAUCCUCAGCUUCCUGAUACCGGUUUCUCAGGCAUUUAGCACCUGCAGGGCCCCUAGUUUGUACCCACUUCUUUGUUGAAGGGGCUUGAUUUCCACCAGGGUCAAGGGGGAAUCCACAUGGUUGUCUGCCCCCCUGUGUGAUCCUCUUUGAGCCAGCCCUGUAGCAAAGAAAAUUCACUCUCCAACAGUUACCCCAUAUGGAACCCUGUCUGACAGGGUAAACACCACCCUACACCUGUAGGUCCCCUCCUCACAUGCCAGGGGUGUGAGCAUGUUUUCCAGUCCUUUUUUAUAGCCUUUGCUACUCAUGCUAAAGAAUCAUCCAGAGGCUUUUCUUCUCUCUCCUUUGGCCUCUGAACCACAACCCUCAGUUUUUGACAAAGGUUUCUCAGCCAUUCAUCCUCUGCAGGCCCCCCGGUUUGUACCCACUUCUUUGUUCCAAGGGGCUUGCCUUCCAGCAGGGUCAAGGGGUAAUCCACAUGGGUGUCUGCCCCCCUCUGUGUUCCUCUCUGACCCUACCCUGUGGCAAAGAAAAUUCACUCUCCCCACAGUUAGCUAAAAUGGAACCCUGUCUGAUAGGGUAAAUACCAUCAUGCACCUGUAGACCCCACCUCGCAGCCCAGGGGUAGGGACAUCUUUUCUUCCCUACAUUUUCCUGUCUUUAAUGCUCAUAGAAUCUCAGGCCUAAAUCAUCAGUUUUGCCUUCCUGAUUUCUUUCCCUAUAAUCAGUGCUCUCCCCUGCCAUGAAUCAACACUCAUAGACACAGACACAGACCCAGCCCCAGUCACAGACACAGACACAGACACACAUAUGCACCCCCCCACACACACACCUGGGGAGCACUUGAUCCACACUGAGUGACACAGAAACAACGUCCACAGCACAGACCCUGGUUUAUUAGACAUUCUAAUUUGACACCAGCCCCUAGGUCCUUGACCAGUACUUGGGCAGGGACUGCUCUCAUUCAAACUGGCAUGGAAGUGGAAUGGGUACGGGGCCCUCCCCAAAGGAUGCUGGCCAUUGCCUUGGCCUUCUAGCUCAGAAAACCCACUGAGUCCAGAACCAGCUCCCAGCUGAGCCUGUCUGCCCAGGGAGGCAGCCCAUUUCACCUCUAGCUGCCACUCCUAAGCACAGUUACCCACUUGCUACCCUGCUCUCUGCAGACCAAGCAGGGUUGUGAUACCUAGUCAGAGGGCAGGGUUUCUCCCACCAUUUCUCACUGGCAAGUCUUCCAUCUGGGCAUGGACAAGGGUUUUGUGCCAUUCUCCACCCCAGGGCUGUCCCAGGUUGUUUCCCAGUCUUUACUGGGGAGAACAGGCUAUCUAGCUAAAUCAAGGGAGAAUGGGCAUGGGGCUCCACUCCAUCUAAGUUCCAGCUGGCAUUGGCCUUCCAGCCAAGAGCCGACCAUGGAUCCCUGUCCUCCAGGAGAGGCACCAACUUUCACCCACAGGGUCCUAGUUCUGAGCACAGAGUUGGUACCCAACAUGGCAGCCUGCUCUCUGAGGCCAAGGUGGGUCUUGAUAGCCAAUCAGAGGGCAGGUCUCCUCUCUCCAUUGGUCAGUGCCCAGGAUUUCAGCAAUGGGUGGUUCUAGGUUGGUCAGCCAUUGAACAGUUACAGUUCCCCUGUUUCUGUCCCCAUUCUGGGCCCCUCAGGGCAUCCAUUCCAUCCAGGAUAAGGGCGAAAAGGAACAUUGGGCUGCACCCAGUGUACAGUAGACCUUGCUGAUAUCCUGUAGGAAGGAACUCACUGAGAUCACAAGCCACCUAAUAGUCAGCCUGAAUGCCAGGGAAGAUGCCACAUUGCACUUGUAGGCUGCCAACUCUCUCCCCAUCAGGGGCACCAGGAUUCCUACUCAGCUUUCUCUCUAGCCUCUCAUCCAGUCUGAGGCCUCAAGCAGAGCCUUGCUCCUUUUGCCCUUUUGCCUCCAUCCCCCAUUAUCCUCAGAGUACACACCUAGGUUUCUCAGCCAUUCUGCAAGCAUAGGGCCUCCAGUUUCUAGCCAUUUCUUUGUUCCAAGGGGCUUUCCUUCUACCAGGGUCAAGGGAAAUCCACAUGGUUGUCUGCCCCCAUGUGUGGUCCCCUUUGUCCCAGCCCUGUGGCAAAGAAAAUUCAACCUCCCAACAGUUAGCCAAAAUGGAACCCUGUCUGACAGGGUAAACACCAUCAUGCACCUGUAGUCCCCCGCCUCACAGCCCAGGGCUGGGGGCAAGCUUUUGGAGCACUUUCUCAGGUCCCUAGAAGUCAGUCUAUCAAUUCAUACAGAGCCUUUUUUCUCUCCUUUUUGGCCUCCAAAUCCAAUCCUCAGCUUCCUGAAAACGGUUUCUCAGCCAUUCAGCACCUGCACGGCCCCCAGUUUGUAACCACCUCUUUGUUGAAGGGGCUUGUUUUCCACCAGGGUCAGGGGGGAAUCCACAUGGUUGUCUGCCGCCAUGAGUGAUCCUCUUUGAGCCAGCCCUGUAGCAAAAAAAAUUCACUCUCCAACAGUUAUCCAAAAUGGAACCCUGUCUGACAGGGUAAACACCACUCUACACCUGUAGGUCCCCACCUCACAUGCCAGGGGUGUGGGCAUGUUUUCCAGUCCUUUUUGAUAACCUUGCUACUCAUGCUAAAGAGUCAUCCAGAGGCUUUCCUUCUCUCUCCUUUGGCCUCUGAACCACAACCCUCAGUUUGUGACAAAGGUUUCUCAGCCAUUCAGCAUCUGCAGGCCCCCCGGUUUGUACCCACUUCUUUGUUCCAAGGGGCUUGCCUUCCAGCAGGGUCAAGGGGGAAUCGACAUGGAUGUCUGCCCUGCUGUGUGAUCCUCUUUUCCCCAGCCCUGUGGCAAAGAAAAUUCACUCUUCCCACAGUUAGCCAAAAUGGAACUCUGUCUGACAGGGUAAACACCAUCAUGCACCUAUAGACCCCACCUCGCAGCCCAAGGGAGGGGAAAUCUUUUCUUCCCUACAUUUUCCUAUCUUUAAUGCUCACUCAAUCUCAGGCCUAAAUCAUCAGUUUUGCCUUCCUGAUUUCUUUCUCUAUAAUCAGUGCUCUCCCCUGCCAUGAAGAAACACUCACAGACACAGACACACAGACACAGACACACACAGACACAGACACAGACACACACACACAUACACACUCACUCUCACACACACACACACACACACACACACACCCCUGGGGAACAUUUAUUCCACACAGAGUGACACAGAAACAAAGUCCCCUACAUAAACUGUGGUGUAUUAGACAUUCUAUUCUGACACUAGCCCCUAGGUGCUUUACCAGUACUUGAGCAGGGAGGGUUUCCAUUCAACUAGCAUGGAAGUGAAAUGGGUAUGGAGCUCUCUCCGACCUGUUUGCCCUAGCAUUGGUCUUCUAGAUCAGAAAACCCACUGAGUCCAGAACCAGCUCCCAGCUGAGCCUGUCUGCUCGGGGAGGCAGCCCAUUUCACCUCUAGCUGCCUCCCCUAAGUACAGUUACCCACUUGCUACCCUGCUCUCUGGAGACCAAGCAGGGUUGUGAUACCUAGUCAGAGGGCAGGGUUUCUCCCACCAUUUCUCACUGGCAAGUCUUUUAACAGAUAUGGACAAGGGUUGUCUGCCAUUCUCCAUCCCAAGGCUGUCCCAGGUUGUUUCUCAUUCUUUGCUAGGGAGGAUAGGCCAUUCAACUACUUCAAGGGCAAAUGGGCAUGGGGCUCCACUCCAUUUACGUUCAAAUUGGCAUUGGCCCUCCAGCCAAGAGCAGACCAUGGAUCCCUGUCUGCUAGGGGAAGCACCACCUUUUACCCACAUGGUCCCAGCUCUGAGCACAGAUUUGGGGCCCAACAUGGAAACCUGCUCUCUGAGGCCAAGUUGGGUCUUAACAGUUAGUCAGAGGGCAGAUCUCCUCUCUCCAUUGGUCAGUGCCUGGGAUUUCAGCAGUGGAUGUUUCUGUGUUGGUCAUCCAUUCACCAGCGGCAGUUCCCCUUGUUCUUUUCCCAUCCUGCGCCCCUCAGGGAUUCCAGUCCAGCUUGGGGAAGGGCAAAUUUGCAUUGGGCAGUAGCCCAAUGCAUGUGAUUCCUUUGCCAGCUCUCUGUAGCCAAGGAACCUCCCUGCAAGUCAUGCUGCUUAACCUUCAUCUUGUUUACUAGGUGCUUUUCAUAUUGCACAUUUUCCCCAGAUAUUAAUUAAGUUUUCUAUAUGAUCAUCUUAAGUAUACGUUAUCUCCUUUCUUCUUUCUCAGACAUUAUUUUCUGUUGUUUUUUUUAAAUCUUUUAUCCUUUAAGUAAUAUAUAAGUAUCAUAAUUUGGGUUUCUCUUUCUGUCACAUUGAAACAUGCCUUUUCUUACAGAAAUAUAAUCAGGGAUUAAUUUUCCUAUUUUAUGUCACUAUUUGACUGGUGAUUCAACAAUGGAUUCAAAUUUUAUGUUUUCUUGUGAGUCCCUAAUAAAUGGUCCUUAAAAAACAUAAAUUUCCAUAUUGAGUAUGGCCCCUUGAGUCAGAAGAUCCUAUGUUUUAAUUUGGCCUCAGAUUCUUACCAGGUUUUUGACUGUGGGGAAGGCAAUCAUAAUUUCUUCAAAAAAACAAAACAAAAGAAAAACAAACCCUUGAAAAUUGGGGACAUCAAAUAUUUAUCUUUCCUUCUUCACAUUUCUUUGGUACUUUCCUUGUUGGCUAGCAUAAUAAAACAACAUCUGAUUUGUACUUUACUGAUUUCACCAUCAUAUAGUCUCAUAAUCCAAAUUUUCUAAUCUGCUCCCAAUGUUAAAGUCAUUUCAAUAACCCCUUACUUGAAGGGUCUUUGUCUUCUGACAAUACAGGGGGUACAUUUUAUUCUUUCUAAUCUUGAACUCUGUUUUUGGCAUUUUCAGUUCUGUUCAUUUAAGUCUGUCUUUUGUUUUUCCCCAGAUCAUUACAUUUUUCUUAUUUCCCAGCUCCUGCUAAAUUCACCAUAUAUCAUCUCAUAGAAAUCUUUUCAUGGUACUCAGAAGUCUUCAUACUUCUUUAUUUCAAUGCAAUACAUCCUUUAUUUCAGUACAAUUUCACUAUCAUAGUACCCACACUGGUUAAUUUCACCAUAUCUUAAAGGGCACUUGGGUUGUUUCUAUUUCUUUGCUACAAAGUAUAUUUACCUCACCUAGUUAAUUUUAUCAGGAACCCCCAUUAUAGAGAUUAUAAAAUUCAAUUGUUGACAGGUCCAAAGUUUGGUUGGACUGGUAUAAAAGAAUGCUAGAGGGUUAUUCAUUUCAUUGGGAGCCUAGAAAAAUGGAAUUGGGAGACUUCCUGAGAUCUAAGUUCUAUGAGCUCAGCUAUGUUAUGUAGCCCUUCCUGCAGACAAGAGACCACCUAAGCCAUGCCAGUCCUCUGCCAUCUUAUCGGGCAUGAGGCUUUACAACCUCUCAGGAAAACUUUUUUUAUCCUCUAAUGUUUCACAACCUUGAUUAUUAAUAAUGUCACUUUUUGUUCUAAAUAACUUCAAGCCAUUUCCCAUAAGAUUGUUCCCCAAAAUGGAAGUAUAGAUUUGUGAAACAUAUCUUCAUAGAGUUGAAUUACAUUAGCAAGUUAUUCCUCAGCAUGUUUUCUAGAUUAAGCAAGUUCCAUCACCUUUUUUCAACCCGGUGCUGUUCUCCUCAUGUUCUCAUUCUCCUUUAAAAUAAAGGCCCACAAAAAGUAAUUUUCGUCUCUGAAUAAGGCCUGAUCAAUAUGGAAUAUAGUUGAGAAAGCCUACCUUUCUAGCUUUUGCAUGUGGCAAUGUAGUAUGCGCUUAAUGGUUUGCACAUAGUAGGUACUUAAUAAUCAAUAUUGCACGGAGUAGGUGCUUUCAAAUAUUGCACAUUGUAGGCAUUUAAUAAAUUGCACAGAGUAGGUGCUUAAUCAGUGUUUGUUAAAUUGAGAGAAAAACAUCGUCCAUGAUCGAUCUUUCCCUCGUAGUACCUCACAUCGCACUUUGUUUUCACUUCUUUCACAAUUCUUGCUGUCUCUUAUUUUAAUCAUAGUUAUUUGCAUAUGUAUCAUAUUUUUAUUAGAUUGUAAACUCCUUGAGGGCAAGAACUAUCUAUCUUAAUAUCUACCCAUCAAAUUGAUCUGCUACAUAAAUACUACUGUAAUCACUUAAUCAAUGUUAAAAUUUUGAUUUGAGCAGAAUUGUUUCCUUGUCGAUGCAUCCUAUCACCAUGUUAGGAUGCCUGUACUGCACGAUUAGCACCUUACUAUAUAUUAUCCUGUUAUAUCUUGUAGCAUUAUUUUGAGAAAAGCAAAGAGCUUCAUAUACUAUAAGACUGUAUGCGUGCUAUUAUUAUUAUUAUCACCAUUGUUAUUUUCUAGUUGCUUUUGUCAUAAUAAUUUAGCACUUUAUUGUAUUAGGAUAUCAUGCUGUUUUGUUAUCUACUAGUGUCAUUUUGUGUGUAUUUCUUAUUUUCCCAAGUAGAUUGUAAGCAUAAGGUAGGCAGUGGCUAUGUAUAGCUUGCAAAUAGCAUAUACUCAAUAAAUGCUUAUUGAAUGAU